GACGAACGCUGGCGGCGUGCUUAACACAUGCAAGUCGAGCGGUAAGGCCCUUCGGGGUACACGAGCGGCGAACGGGUGAGUAACACGCGAGCAAUCUGCCCUUCACUCUGGGAUAACCCCCGGAAACGGGAGCUAAUACCGGAUCCGACCACUUCGGACAUCCGAUGGUGGUGGAAAGUUCCGGCGGUGAAGGAUGAGCUCGCGGCCUAUCAGCGUGUUGGUGGGGUAACGGCCCACCAAGGCUUCGACGGGUAGCCGGCCUGAGAGGGUGACCGGCCACACUGGGACUGAGACACGGCUCAGACUCCUACGGGAGGCAGCAGUGGGGAAUAUUGGACAAUGGGCGAAAGCCUGAUCCAGCAACGCCGCGUGAGGGAUGACGGCCUUCGGGUUGUAAACCUCUUUCAGCGCAGACGAAGCGAAAGUGACGGUAUGCGCAGAAGAAGCACCGGCCAACUACGUGCCAGCAGCCGCCGUAA
rnacentral:rRNA from 1 species